GAUGAAGAACGUAGCGAAAUGCGAUAAGUAGUGUGAAUUGCAGAAUUCAGUGAAUCAUCGAAUCUUUGAACGCACAUUGCGCCCCUUGGUAUUCCAUGGGGCAUGUCUGUUCGAGCGUCAUUUGUACCUUCAAGCUCUGCUUGGUGUUGGGUGUUUGUCUCGCCUCUGCGUGUAGACUCGCCUCAAAACAAUUGGCAGCCGGCGUAUUGAUUUCGGAGCGCAGUACAUCUCGCGCUUUGCACUCAUAACGACGACGUCCAAAAGUACAUUUUUACACUCUUGACCUCGGAUCAGGUAGGGAUACCCGCUGAACUUAAGCAUAUCAAUAAGCGGAGGA
rnacentral:misc_RNA from 1 species